rnacentral:lncRNA from 1 species
GUAUGAGCGGUUGGUUUCUUUACAAAUAAGAGAAAGAAAAAGACAGACACUCUAACAGAACUUUUACGAGAUAAUCAAAUACACCCUUAAUAUCAAACCCAUUGAUCAUGGCUUAGAACAAAAAUCAGUGGCCAUUUUUAUAUUUACAACAAUCAAAUGUUCUCAAAUAGCAACUUAAUAGGACCUUCAAAUUACAAUGAAUCUAAUUACUAAACUAUUAGUAUUGAUAAUAAAACUAAAUCAACGGCCCUGCAUGCUUCACUACCAGACAUAGCUUAGCCAUCAUUCAGGAAGAAAAACUGUUCAAUUUUGAAGCUCAUACUUAAAUAAAUUAUGAGAAUGUCAAUGAUUAGAGCUAAGAAAUAACAUGUGAGUAAAGCCAUUAAACUGCAACUCAAACCAACUUGUGGCCAGAUCCACAGUUAUUGACCUUCAAAUCCAUCAUUAGAACUUAAUUUAUCAUAAAAAGCAAGCUCAGAUUUCCAGCAGUUAGCAUUUCGAAUAGAGGCAGCAUGUAUUUGACCAUAAGAUAUGUAGUUUGAGAUCUAACUAAACAUGUGAAAUCAGCUACAAUUUCAUCCACAAAAUUGCUAAGGAGACCAUUUCCUCAAUCAUGCAAAUCCAUAACAAGUUUAAGGUCUAAAGCAUAUUAAAACUAACAUUCAUUCAUGUUUACAAACAGAAAUAGUCAAUUAACGCAACCAUAACAAAUAACUUUAAGGAAUAACUAACAUUUCAUUGUAAAUCAAACAGAGGUACAUGUGCAGCGAGAUGUGUACCUAAACUUGCAAAUGAAGCUAAAUUUUGCCAAGUAAAGAUCAAGGAGUAUAGCUAACAAAGAGCUCAAAACAGAGCAGCAGCAGAGAUCAGGAGGACAAUUUGAAUCCCAGAUGAACAACAGAAAACAACAGCAGCAAUAAAACCAGCAAUUUCUUUCUAUCAAACCAAACUUUGAACUCAGAAAUGAUGCCAAAAUCCCAAAGUGACUAGAAGCAGCUUUCAAUCUUUAUAUCUCUCUGAUUUUUGGAGUGUUUUUAACAGCUUUUUAAACUCAAAUUUUAAAAAAAACCUAAAUUUCUAGUAGCUGUGAUCCUUUUUUGUCUAAGAUUGUGUGUGCUUUUUUUUUUAGUGAAUAUGCUGAAUAUUAACCUCCGUGUAUGAGGAGUAUAGGGUCCCUUUUAUAGAAUGUGAGAGUGCAAGAUGAUAGGAAUGAGAGAGAGUGAGGGAAUCUGCCAGCCUUCCUUAAAAUCAGGGAAUUGACAUCUUUUCAAAUCAGAAAAUGGACAGAUGUCCAAUUUCUGGAUAUUUCCUCUCACUCUCAUCUCUUUUCUUAACAGAUUGGGACAUAUGUCCCUAUUUUUAGAAACUUCUUUUAUUCCCAGAACCUAUGAACUUCUGAAAAGUUCACGCUAUUCUCUAUUAACCCAAAUAUUCAAAGAAUUAAGCCAAAUGACCAACAAGCUUAGGCCCAAACUAAUUGGGCUUUUUAUUUGUCAAGCAUGGCAACUCAUCAAGUUCCAAAACCAAAACAGCCCAAAAGAUAAAAAAUAAACAAAAUGACUGAUUUUGAACAAUUAAAGCUAACACUAUAAAAAUGAUAAAUACAAAGAGUUUAACAUGACUAAACUAACUGAAACAUUAAUGAUGAAGUUAAACUUGUUAAUUAGCAAAGGAAUCUAAAAAUCAGUGAUUAAGCUAAAAUUAGAGAACAAACAAAACAUAGACAAUCUACUAAUUAAUUCUAACUAAAUUACUGAAUUAAUUAAAAACGAUUCAAUUAACCUAAACACAUGCGAUUAACUAAUUGAGGUCAUGCAAUUGAAUUGUUAAUCUACUCAUGCAAAUACAGAAUCGGAUAAUAUGCAAAGUGUCUAACUAAAUUGAAUAAAAAUGUAAAACACAGGUUCAAGGAAAUUAUUAAUUCUGAACAAAAGAAAAGGAUCACGGAGUUACCAAUUGAAGUCUAAGAGCUGAUAAUAAAGAGACUGGGAAUCGAUAUUAACUCCGGUAAACCGAACAAACUUCGGUGGCCGUGGGAUGAACUGAGACUAACAUCAAUCGAUUGCUCUCAUCAAGAACAAUUAAUUUAUGUAGGUUUUGAGUCCAAACGGGCCCGGGUCGAGGAGUAAUUAGAAGAGGAAGGAUUUAGGUCCCCCCCCCCCCCCAGGAUUUUCAGAUCCGAAAUUGGAAGGAUUUGGUAGGGGUUUCGUAAAAAUUGAUGGUGGAUUUGGAUUGAGGGCGAAGAGAGGAUUAUAGGGUAUGAUUUUGAUGGGGUUUGGAGUAGCGUCGCCGUCGUAGGCAAUUUCCGGUGGCGGCAGACGGCGGAGGUGAGAGAGAGAGGUGAGGGAAUU